GAGGCGGACGACAGGGACGACCCCUGCCCCAGUCGCCGCACUGGACGUAGACGAACGCACUAACCUAGUAACCUUGCAUCACUAACCUAGUAGCCUCUACCCGCCGGACGACGACUGACCCCACUGACCCCAUCCCUUAUACAGGCAAGCGUCCAAUGAGUUCUUACCUAAGUCCGUCUUCCACUACCACGCUUUCACGUCCGUGUGAGUGUCUCAUCCCAAAAUGCCCGUCGUCUACUACUACGUCCAACGUCUGUGUCAGUGUCUCGUCUCAAAAUGACAUGUUUAGUCCUUGGUAAGCUGUCACGUCCAACUUCUGUGCCAGUGACUCGUCUCAAUGACAGGUUUAGUCCUUGGUAAUCUGUCACGUCGAACGUCUGUCUCAGUGGCUCGUCUAAAACUCCACGUAACUUCGACACCACGAAAGUACACUCGAGUCUGGAACGAAGUCGCUCACUAAAUCUCCUAAUCACCACCAAGCAAAUGAAAGACUCUCCGUUGAAGUCUUCUUUUCAAGUCUAGAGAAACAUUUUUUUAACACGAUACGUUCACAAUCGACAUUUAGUCCUUUUUUUGUGAUGACCGCUUACCGUUCUGCCACUCCCACGACGGCCGCACGUACUUGAAGGUGGGCCGUACGCACCCGCUCACCGACGCCAAGUUGUACUGUACGGGCAAGACGGCGCGACGUGGACGACAUCGUCAAAGGCCAGAGGAAACGGGACACUGUGGUUAGCAGCCACUACCUGAGGCUUCUUUCUUCCUAUCCCGACUGGAAAAAAGUAGAGACUUCACAAAUAUAUACAUGAAAACAAAUAUGAUCAGGUGAAAAAUUAAGUGGUACCAAAUAGAAAGACAAACAUCUAAAAGGUCACUAUACUCUAAACCACUAAGAUAGAUAUAAAGAGAAGUGCAAACGGUAUUAAUAAACAAGUAGUGAAGGUUGAGGUGUGGACAUCUUUUUCGGUUCGACUUGAUGGUCUUGAUGUCGUCUUCCGCGAAGCGACUUGUUCCGUCCUACCAUGCGGUAGGACACUUCGUCGACAUAUUACUCGACGGUGUUCGCCGUGGCCGUGGGCGUGUUCGUGUCCCCCCGGUAUGGAGUACCACCGUGUCGCUCUUCUACCACCCUUGGGUCUAACUCGAGGACAAUAAUGAGAUACAGCAGUAACCGCGGUAUGUCCACCACCCGUUAGCCAUGUCCGCGUCGUAGUUAUCGCGGAUACAAUUCAUGGGUGAUACCGACCGUAUGAGACGGUCGGUUGGGAAUCACCGUAUAUGGGAACCACAAUACAUGUUGAGAGGCAAGUUUCUCUGGUUUAGAGACGAGUGAUGAUACAAACAACAGCAACGAAACCCCUCUCACUUGUGCUACUGUCGAAUGUUACAACUACUGUUGUUCGCCAUGUGGCGGGUCAAGAAGGCCGUACAGGACAAACACCACUCGAUGUACAGGUACCGGUAUUGGUAGGGGGUGUGGAGGCCUAAAAAUCCAACCUUGCGAGAGUAAGUGAGGGACUAGCGCCACAAGAAAGACUAGAAGAAAGACUGGUACUUACCACCUUCCUGAACGCGUUUAUAGUACCGUUCAUCGAAGAGUCUGUUCCCCUCGAAUAUGGAGGUUUGCGUAUACUUCUAACUGGUUGCCCGUAGACAUCGAAUACUAGGUCAUAGAGAACUUCCCAUGUUGAUGGAACAAAAAAGAAAGCUAGUCUUCUUUCUCGUGGCAUUCCUACUUGUCCUCUUCUAACACCUCCACUUACUCUUACUACUACUCCUCUUCGACCAUCACCUCCACCUACUCUUCUUACUACUACUCCUCCUCGCCUUCGUACUUUUCCAACUACUUUUACUAUUACUUUUCCUCCUCCUCUAGUACCUCCACUUCCUCUUCCUGCUACUACUACUACUACUCCUCCUCCUCGUCUUCGUACUUUUCCGACUACUUUUACUCUUUCUUUUCCUCCUCCUCUAGCACCUCCACUUCCUCUUCCUGCUACUAUUACUACUACUACUACUCCUCCUCCUCGUCUUCGUACUUUUCCUACUACUAAUACUACUUCCCCUCCUCUUUUCACUACUACUCCUGCUUGCCCCGGUAUAAUGUCAAUCGUACCAUACCUCAAGGAGAAGUCCAGGCAAGCCACCUUCACUUCCAGGUGCUGACUUCCUUGACACGGAAAGGAAACGGAACAAAGUCGAUAAUGCCUCCGCAAAGAAACCCCGGCUAACGGGACUUCGCUUCGAAGUCUUUUGAGUACUAGACCAGAAGUUUCCUAAGGAGAACCUACAUCUCUCUUUGAUGCUUCGACGUAUAUCCUAUUAACUCUGUCUCGACCGAAAGUGGAUGCUAGUAAAGAAGAGGUGGUGAGUAAGGAAUAAGUCACGUGUACCAUGGUAAUUGAAAAAGGAGUCGUAAAAAACACAACGCCAGUAUAUAGGAAGUCCUUAUCAUUGUAACUAGUUCCUAGAGGACGCGAUAUUUGUACUCAGAGAGUCGAGUGGAUCAUCCCACGGUACCCCUUCUUGUCCGUAAGACUGUCCUCAUCAUGAACAGUACGACUCAAAACGUGAACUCGACGAUGUCGAAAUACAAGAAUAAAGUAGGCUGACCCGAUUCCAUCUUAAACGGACAGCCGAAGGUCCUGAUAUGAAGCCUUUUUUAGAGGGUGUCAAUAAACCAAUAACCGUCUUAUUCUAACCGGUCGUGAGCGAUUAAUUCCUAAACGUACCUUUUAGUAAGUAGCGACUGGACCACCCCAGAAACAGAAUAAACAAAGUCAGGAAAGUAACGAUAUGAAGUCGAAAGGGAGCUCCUAAACUUGUAGCACCACAAUUCUUCCGUCUAGCGUAAGGUAACUGUCUGUGGCAGUUCAACCGGUAACGAUCUUGAGAGUUUCUCUCGUUACCAGUUGACAGCACGCCUCAUAGUAGUAACGCUGUCUUAAAAGUUCCACUUCUUUAAGGUAAUACCCGUACGUUAGUGCUCUGAGGACGGUCUUGGUACAACUAAACCGUACAACGUUGACUCAUAACACAGUAGCGUGUUACAUUCUAACGUCUCGAUCUUUGAAACCAUGAGUUGGUAGUAUGACAACGGGUUCUUUAUAGUUCAAUAACGCGUAUAAACUACCGCAAACACGAUCUUAACGAGGGCCUAGUAGGAAACCUCUGGUGUUUAACAAAGUACUUCACUCCUUGCUCCGUGAUUUGAACAACGCGUUUCUGUCCUGCGGCAAACUCUUUGUGUGUUUCUACUUUUGGAUAGUGGCCGUUGUACUCUGCUGGAAACGCAGCCCCUAGACCAAUCCCUUCUUCGAACUUCUUUACUCUCUACUGUCAGCCACCUUCUACGACCGUCUAAAGACCUGACUUUACUAUAACAUGCGUCGAGGUAGCCUGUUACGUUUCCUAGUAUAUGUCGUAGACCGUUUACCUCCACUCAAAGAUUGUGUGGACACCCGCAACGAGAGGGUGCGACCGUAAGAUCUCUCCCUAGUUGUCUAGGUACCGGUAGGAGGACGUCUUACAAAACGUGGAGCGCUUCGUUGUUGGAUACGACUACUCGUCUGCACGUCUUUACUAGUCGUCGACCUAGGUGACGAAGUGAGGGCAAGGCAAGUUCGAUGUGUCGAUGCCGUUUGCCUCCAUCUUUACUGACGUAGUUACCUCGCAGCAUAACUAUAAAGACUUCAAAGUUCGAGGUGGUUCGUCCGGACUCACUUAUUCACACUCCAGAGAAGUGACAGUCCACCAUAUUUUAACACUCUCAAGUCAACAAACGAUCAUGAUCAGUUAAACAAACUACGG
rnacentral:rRNA from 1 species